UCCCUGGUAGCCCAGUGGUUGGGCCUUUGAGCUUUCAUUGCCCUGGCCCAGGUUCAAUCCCUGGUCAAGGAA
rnacentral:tRNA from 1 species